UACAGAGGUCUCAAGCGUUGUUCGGAUUCAUUGGGCGUAAAGGGUGCGUAGGCGGCGCGGUAAGUCGGGUGUGAAAUCUUGGAGCUUAACUCCGAAACUGCAUUCGAUACUGCCGUGCUUGAGGACUGGAGAGGAGACUGGAAUUUACGGUGUAGCAGUGAAAUGCGUAGAUAUCGUAAGGAAGACCAGUGGCGAAGGCGAGUCUCUGGACAGUUACUGACGCUGAGGCACGAAGGCCAGGGGAGCAAACGGGG
rnacentral:rRNA from 1 species